UUUAACUGAAGAGUUUGAUCAUGGCUCAGAUUGAACGCUGGCGGCAGGCUUAACACAUGCAAGUCGAGCGGAGAGAGGUAGCUUGCUACUGAUCUUAGCGGCGGACGGGUGAGUAAUGCUUAGGAAUCUGCCUAUUAGUGGGGGACAACAUUUC
rnacentral:rRNA from 1 species